rnacentral:rRNA from 1 species
UACAGAGGGUGCGAGCGUUAAUCGGAAUUACUGGGCGUAAAGCGUGCGUAGACGGUCAAGUAAGUCGGGUGUGAAAGCCCCGGGCUCAACCUGGGAAUUGCAUUCGAGACUGCGUGGCUAGGGUGCGGAAGAGGGAAGCGGAAUUUCCGGUGUAGCGGUGAAAUGCGUAGAUAUCGGAAGGAACAUCAGUGGCGAAAGCGGCUUCCUGGUCCAGCACCGACGUUCAGGCACGAAAGCGUGGGGAG